CCAUACAAGCCGGGGAAUUAGCGGAGCCCUGUACCUGAAAUCCGCUACAGCAGGGGUGUAUUCCUUUCUUGAGGAUUUAGCAAAAGCGGUCUGAAUCGUACCUGCUGCGUUGAAGAGUGGGUCUUGCGCAAUCAAGGGCUGUGAACCAUGUCAGGUGGGGAACCAAGCAGCAUUAAGCGGUUUACUUGAUGUGCCGUGAGGACGCCUGCUCUGAGCAGGAGGUACGAAGCUCGCGCCUAUGCGACGUUCGAUUUUUAGGUGUAUGG
rnacentral:SRP_RNA from 1 species